AAUGAACGUUGGCGGCGUGGAUUAGGCAUGCAAGUCGCGCGAUUUCCUUCGGGGAAGAGCGGCGGAAGGGAGAGUAACGCGUAGAUACCUACCCUCGGGACUGGAAUAGCGACGGGAAACUGUCGGUAAUGCCAGAUAACGUCCCUGGACCAACAGUGUGAAUCCGCCUGAGGAGGGGUCUGCGUCCUAUUAGCUAGUUGGCGGGGUAACGGCCCACCAAGGCGAAGAUGGGUACCGGGCGUGUGAGCGUGACCCGGCUCACUGGGACUGAGACACUGCCCAGACACCUACGGGUGGCUGCAGUCGAGAAUCUUCGGCAAUGAGCGCAAGCUUGACCGAGCGACGCCGCGUGCGGGAUGAAGGCUUUCGGGUUGUAAACCGCUGUCAGUGGGGAGGAAAUUCUUGGGGGUACUCCCCCUUGAUUGACCGAUCCGCAGAGGAAGGACGGGCUAAGUUCGUGCCAGCAGCCGCUGUAAAAC
rnacentral:rRNA from 1 species